AGGUGAGACAAGUUGAAUCCCAUGAGCUUUCAACCAAUAUCCCGCCUUAAUCUUGCUGGAAAUAAUGCACUCUUUCACGCAUCACAGGCCAUUCUGGUUCACAUGAGCCUCAAUGUUGCCAAGUCAGAUGCGAAGAAGAGGAACAACCUUAUGGAAGACAACAUGCCUAAGUAGAUAUAGAAGUUGUAUUAUUAAUCUGCUUUUGUUUUAAGUUGUUAUUGGGAAUG